AUUGAACGCUGGCGGCAUGCUUUACACAUGCAAGUCGAACGGCAGCGCGGGCUUCGGCCUGGCGGCGAGUGGCGAACGGGUGAGUAAUACAUCGGAACGUGCCCAGUAGUGGGGGAUAGCUCGGCGAAAGCCGGAUUAAUACCGCAUACGACCUGAGGGUGAAAGCGGGGGAUCUUCGGACCUCGCGCUAUUGGAGCGGCCGAUGGCAGAUUAGCUAGUUGGUGGGGUAAAGGCCUACCAAGGCGACGAUCUGUAGCUGGUCUGAGAGGACGACCAGCCACACUGGGACUGAGACACGGCCCAGACUCCUACGGGAGGCAGCAGCGGGGAAUUUUGGACAAUGGGCGAAAGCCUGAUCCAGCAAUGCCGCGUGUGUGAUGAAGGCCUUCGGGUUGUAAAGCACUUUUGGCGGGAACGAAAAGGACUGUGCCAAGACCACGGUUCGAUGACGGUACCCGCAGAAGAAGCACCGGCUAACUACGU
rnacentral:rRNA from 1 species